rnacentral:lncRNA from 1 species
UCACUUAUGGGGAAAUUAAGAUAAAAAAAAUGAAAAGAACUACGGCCAUAAUGUCAGCAUUGAAGCGAAUCCUUGAAUUAAGAAAGGAAUCAAAUACAAGAAAACAAAUUCGGAAAAAGUUAUGUUGACAGCAGCAGAAUGAAAUACAACUUCAUUACAUACAUAAACGAGGAGCAAAAUCAAAUAAAGAAAUGCGACAAAAUUACAUAUAAAUGGAAAAAGAAAAAAGAAAUAGAAGGCGCACCUCAAUUAAAUUAGGAGCGAAGCAAGCUGGUCAGCAGAGUAUGAUCCCAGAAAUUGAACAAGUAUAAAUACAAAGAAAUAAGUAACGAAAAUUGCAUGACAGUUACAACCAAAACUGUGUGACCCAAGC